rnacentral:rRNA from 1 species
CUCGUAGGCGGUUCGUCGCGUCCGGUGUGAAAGUCCAUCGCUUAACGGUGGAUCUGCGCCGGGUACGGGCGGGCUGGAGUGCGGUAGGGGAGACUGGAAUUCCCGGUGUAACGGUGGAAUGUGUAGAUAUCGGGAAGAACACCAAUGGCGAAGGCAGGUCUCUGGGCUGUUACUGACGCUGAGGAGCGAAAGCGUGGGGAGCGAAACA